UACGUAGGGCGCAAGCGUUAUCCGGAAUUAUUGGGCGUAAAGAGCUCGUAGGCGGUUUGUCGCGUCUGCCGUGAAAGUCCGGGGCUCAACUCCGGAUCUGCGGUGGGUACGGGCAGACUAGAGUGAUGUAGGGGAGACUGGAAUUCCUGGUGUAACGGUGAAAUGCGCAGAUAUCAGGAGGAACACCGAUGGCGAAGGCAGGUCUCUGGGCAUUAACUGACGCUGAGGAGCGAAAGCAUGGGGAGCGAACAGG
rnacentral:rRNA from 1 species